UACGGAGGGCGCGAGCGUUGUUCGGAAUCACUGGGCGUAAAGCGCGUGUAGGCGGCCGAGCAAGUCGGAUGUGAAAUCCCGAGGCUCAACCUCGGAACUGCAUUCGAAACUGCUCGGCUCGAGUCCCGGAGAGGAUGGCGGAAUUCCCGGUGUAGGGGUGAAAUCCGUAGAUAUCGGGAGGAACACCAGUGGCGAAGGCGGCCAUCUGGACGGUGACUGACGCUGAGACGAGAAAGCGUGGGGAGCAAACAGG
rnacentral:rRNA from 1 species